rnacentral:rRNA from 1 species
UACGAAGGGGGCUAGCGUUGCCGUCGAAUUACUGGGCGUAAAGCGCACGUAGGCGGCUUUCUAAGUCGGGGGUGAAAUCCUGGAGCUCAACUCCAGAACUGCCUUCGAUACUGGAAAGCUCGAGUCCGGGAGAGGUGAGUGGAACUGCGAGUGUAGAGGUGAAAUUCGUAGAUAUCGGGAGGAACACCAGUGGCGAAGGCGGCGACCUGGGCCAAUAUUGACGCUGAGGUGCGAAAGCGUGGGGAGCAAACAGG